rnacentral:rRNA from 1 species
UACGUAGGGUGCAAGCGUUACUCGGAUUUAUUGGGCGUAAAGCGCAUGUAGGCGGUUUUGUAAGUCUGAUGUGAAAUCCCUGGACUCAAUUCAGGAACUGCAUUGGAUACUGCAAGACUAGAGUACGGGAGAGGUAGGUGGAAUUCCUGGUGUAGAGGUGAAAUUCGUAGAUAUCAGGAGGAACAACAGAGGCGAAGGCGACUUACUGGACCGUAACUGACGCUGAGAUGCGACAGUGUGGGGAGCAAAC